AUUGAACGCUGGCGGCAGGCCUAACACAUGCAAGUCGAGCGGAUGACGGGAGCUUGCUCCUGGAUUCAGCGGCGGACGGGUGAGUAAUGCCUAGGAAUCUGCCUGGUAGUGGGGGACAACGUUUCGAAAGGAACGCUAAUACCGCAUACGUCCUACGGGAGAAAGCAGGGGACCUUCGGGCCUUGCGCUAUCAGAUGAGCCUAGGUCGGAUUAGCUAGUUGGUGAGGUAAUGGCUCACCAAGGCGACGAUCCGUAACUGGUCUGAGAGGAUGAUCAGUCAAACUGGAACUGAGACACGGUCCAGACUCCUACGGGAGGCAGCAGUGGGGAAUAUUGGACAAUGGGCGAAAGUCUGAUCCAGCCAUGCCGCGUGUGUGAAGAAGGUCUUCGGAUUGUAAAGCACUUUAAGUUGGGAGGAAGGGUUGUAGAUUAAUACUCUGCAAUUUUGACGUUACCGACAGAAUAAGCACCGGCUAACUCUGUGCCAGCCGCCGCUGUAAUAC
rnacentral:rRNA from 1 species